rnacentral:rRNA from 1 species
CCCUUAGAUGUUCUGGGCUGCACGCGCGCUACACUGAUGCACUCAACGAGUUUACGACCUCGCCCGAUAGGGUUGGGUAAUCUUUUUAAAAUGCAUCGUGAUGGGGAUAGAUUAUUGCAAUUAUUAAUCUUCAACGAGGAAUUCCUAGUAAGCGCGAGUCAUCAGCUCGUGCUGAUUACGUCCCUGCCCUUUGUACACACCGCCCGUCGCUCCUACCGAUUGAGUGCUCAGGUGAAUAAUUCGGACUGCAGCAAUGUUUGGAUCCCGAACGUUGCAGCGGAAAGUUUAGUGAACCUUAUCACUUAGAGGAAGGAGAAGUCGUAACA